CUUGUACUUAUAGACUCUACUUUCUUUGUUCCCAGCUCGGAGAUCCCAUGGGUUGACUUGGCUGGAAGGAGGUUCAACAUUGGGACUAUUAAAGGUAUAGAUGUAAUUUAUGUGAUGACUGGAGAGCAACAGUGAAUGCAGGUAUAACU